rnacentral:rRNA from 1 species
UACGUAGGGGGCAAGCGUUGUCCGGAAUCAUUGGGCGUAAAGCGCGUGUAGGCGGCCAGAUAAGUCCGCUGUGAAAACUCGAGGCUCAACUUCGAGCUGUCGGCGGAAACUAUCUGGCUAGAGUCCGGAAGAGGAGAGUGGAAUUCCUGGUGUAGCGGUGAAAUGCGCAGAUAUCAGGAAGAACACCCGUGGCGAAGGCGGCUCUCUGGGACGGUACUGACGCUGAGACGCGAAAGCGUGGGGAGCGAACAGG